rnacentral:rRNA from 1 species
GAUUGAACGCUGGCGGCAGGCCUAACACAUGCAAGUCGAGCGGUAACAGAAAGUAGCUUGCUACUUUGCUGACGAGCGGCGGACGGGUGAGUAAUGCUUGGGAACAUGCCUUGAGGUGGGGGACAACAGUUGGAAACGACUGCUAAUACCGCAUAAUGUCUACGGACCAAAGGGGGCUUCGGCUCUCGCCUUUAGAUUGGCCCAAGUGGGAUUAGCUAGUUGGUGAGGUAAUGGCUCACCAAGGCGACGAUCCCUAGCUGGUUUGAGAGGAUGAUCAGCCACACUGGGACUGAGACACGGCCCAGACUCCUACGGGAGGCAGCAGUGGGGAAUAUUGCACAAUGGGCGCAAGCCUGAUGCAGCCAUGCCGCGUGUGUGAAGAAGGCCUUCGGGUUGUAAAGCACUUUCAGUCAGGAGGAAAGGUUAGUAGUUAAUACCUGCUAGCUGUGACGUUACUGACAGAAGAAGCACCGGCUAACUCCGUG